rnacentral:rRNA from 1 species
ACUCAAAUGAAUUGACGGGAGCCCGCACAAGCAGUGGAGUAUGUGGUUUAAUUCGAUGCAACGCGAAGAACCUUACCAGAGCUUGACAUCCCGGGAAAGACGCUGUAAUGGCGUCCGUGCCCUUCGGGGAACCCGGUGACAGGUGGUGCAUGGUUGUCGUCAGCUCGUGUCGUGAGAUGUUGGGUUAAGUCCCGCAACGAGCGCAACCCUUACGGUUAGUUGCUACGCAAGAGCACUCUAGCCGGACUGCCGUUGACAAAACGGAGGAAGGUGGGGACGACGUCAAAUCAUCAUGCCCCUUACGUUCUGGGCUACACACGUACUACAAUGGCGUAAACAACGGGGAGCCAAGGCGCGAGCCGGAGCAAAUCCCAAAAAUACGCCCCAGUUCAGAUUGCAGGCUGCAACUCGCCUGCAUGAAGUCGGAAUUGCUAGUAAUCGCGGAUCAGCAUGCCGCGGUGAAUACGUUCCCGGGCUUUGCACACACCGCCCGU